UAAGUCUGUUCGACUUUUGAAUCUUUACAUGAUCUGAGUUCAGACCGGCGUGAGCCAGGUUGGUUUCUAUCUGCAAUUUUGUAAUUAUAAUUUAGUACGAAAGGACCAGUUAUAAAUAAUAAUUAUGUUAUUUUGAUUAAUAUUAAACUAUUUUGGCAGAAUUGAGUGCAAUAAAUUUAGAAUUUAUAAAUGUAAUUUUUAUUACAAAUAGUA
rnacentral:rRNA from 1 species